rnacentral:rRNA from 1 species
GACGAACGCUGGCUGCGUGCUUAACACAUGCAAGUCGAACGCUGAAGCCUGGUGCUUGCACCGGGUGGAUGAGUGGCGAACGGGUGAGUAACACGUGAGUAACCUGCCCCUGACUUCGGGAUAAGCCCGGGAAACUGGGUCUAAUACCGGAUACGACUGCCGGACGCAUGUCUGGUGGUGGAAAGUUUUUUCGGUUGGGGAUGGGCUCGCGGCCUAUCAGUUUGUUGGUGAGGUAAUGGCUCACCAAGACGACGACGGGUAGCCGGCCUGAGAGGGCGACCGGCCACACUGGGACUGAGACACGGCCCAGACUCCUACGGGAGGCAGCAGUGGGGAAUAUUGCACAAUGGGGGAAACCCUGAUGCAGCGACGCAGCGUGCGGGAUGACGGCCUUCGGGUUGUAAACCGCUUUCAGCAGGGAAGAAGCGCAAGUGACGGUACCUGCAGAAGAAGUACCGGCUAACUACGUGCCAGCAGCCGCGGUAAUACGUAGGGUACCGAGCGUUGUCCGGAAUUAUUGGGCGUAAAGAGCUCGUAGGUGGUUGGUCACGUCUGCUGUGGAAACGCAACGCUUUAACGUUGCGCGUGCAGUGGGUACGGGCUGACUAGAGUGCAGUAGGGGAGUCUGGAAUUCCUGGUGUAGCGGUGAAAUGCGCAGAUAUCAGGAGGAACACCGGUGGCGAAGGCGGGACUCUGGGCUGUAACUGACACUGAGGAGCGAAAGCAUGGGGAGCGAACAGGAUUAGAUACCCUGGUAGUCCAUGCCGUAAACGUUGGGCACUAGGUGUGGGGGGCAUUCCACGUUCUCCGCGCCGUAGCUAACGCAUUAAGUGCCCCGCCUGGGGAGUACGGUCGCAAGGCUAAAACUCAAAGGAAUUGACGGGGGCCCGCACAAGCGGCGGAGCAUGCGGAUUAAUUCGAUGCAACGCGAAGAACCUUACCAAGGCUUGACAUACACCGGACCGUCCUGGAAACAGGUCUUCUUCUUNGAAGCUGGUGUACAGGUGGUGCAUGGUUGUCGUCAGCUCGUGUCGUGAGAUGUUGGGUUAAGUCCCGCAACGAGCGCAACCCUCGUUUCUAUGUUGCCAGCAUGUGAUGGUGGGAACUCAUAGGAGACUGCCGGGGUCAACUCGGAGGAAGGUGGGGAUGACGUCAAAUCAUCAUGCCCUUUAUGUCUUGGGCUUCACGCAUGCUACAAUGGCUGGUACAGAGAGAGGCGAACCCGUGAGGGCAAGCGAAUCCCUUAAAGCCAGUCUCAGUUCGGAUCGUAGUCUGCAAUUCGACUACGUGAAGUCGGAGUCGCUAGUAAUCGCAGAUCAGCAACGCUGCGGUGAAUACGUUCCCGGGCCUUGUACACACCGCCCGUCAAGUCACGAAAGUCGGUAACACCCGAAGCCGGUGGCCUAACCGUAAGGAGGGGGCCGUCUAAGGUGGGACUGGUGAUUGGGACUAAGUCGUAACAAGGUAGCCGUACCGGAAGG